rnacentral:rRNA from 1 species
GGACGAACGCUGGCGGGCGUGCUUAACACAUGCAAGUCGAGCGAUGAAGUUCCUUCGGGAAAUGGAUUAGCGGCGGACGGGUGAGUAACACGUGGGUAACCUGCCUCAUAGAGGGGAAUAGCCUUUCGAAAGGAAGAUUAAUACCGCAUAAGAUUGUAGUACCGCAUGGUGCAGCAAUUAAAGGAGUAAUCCGCUAUGAGAUGGACCCGCGUCGCAUUAGCUAGUUGGUGAGGUAACGGCUCACCAAGGCGACGAUGCGUAGCCGACCUGAGAGGGUGAUCGGCCACAUUGGGAGUGAGACACGGCCCAGACUCUUACGGGAGGCAGCAGUGGGGAAUAUUGCACAAUGGGGGAAACCCUGAUGCAGCAACGCCGCGUGAGUGAUGACGGUCUUCGGAUUUGUAAAGCUCUGUCUUCAGGGACGAUAAUGACGGUACCUGAGGAGGAAGCCACGGCUAACUACGUGCCAGCAGCCGCGGUAAUACGUAGGUGGCAAGCGUUGUCCGGAUUUACUGGGCGCAAAGGGAGCGUAGGUGGAUAUUUAAGUGGGAUGUGAAAUACUCGGGCUUAACCUGGGUGCUGCAUUCCAAACUGGAUAUCUAGAGUGCAGGAGAGGAAAGUAGAAUUCCUAGUGUAGCGGUGAAAUGCGUAGAGAUUAGGAAGAAUACCAGUGGCGAAAGCGACUUUCUGGACUGUAACUGACACUGAGGCUCGAAAGCGUGGGGAGCAAACAGGAUUAGAUACCCCUGGUAGUCCACGCCGUAAACGAUGAAUACUAGGUGUGGGGGUUGUCAUGACCUCCGUGCCGCCGCUAACGCAUUAAGUAUUCCGCCUGGGGAGUACGGUCGCAAGAUU